rnacentral:tRNA from 1 species
GCCCGGGUAGCUCAGUGGUAGAGCGUUUCCUUGGUAAGGAAGAGGUCGGCAGUUCAAUCCUGCUCUCAGGCUCCA